GAUGAACGCUGGCGGCGUGCCUAAUACAUGCAAGUCGAGCGAACAGACGAGGAGCUUGCUCCUCUGACGUUAGCGGCGGACGGGUGAGUAACACGUGGAUAACCUACCUAUAAGACUGGGAUAACUUCGGGAAACCGGAGCUAAUACCGGAUAACAUGUUGAACCGCAUGGUUCAACAGUGAAAGACGGUCUUGCUGUCACUUAUAGAUGGAUCCGCGCCGCAUUAGCUAGUUGGUAAGGUAACGGCUUACCAAGGCAACGAUGCGUAGCCGACCUGAGAGGGUGAUCGGCCACACUGGAAUUGAGACACGGUCCAGACUCCUACGGGAGGCAGCAGUAGGGAAUCUUCCGCAAUGGGCGAAAGCCUGACGGAGCAACGCCGCGUGAGUGAAGAAGGUCUGCGGAUCGUAAAACUCUGUUAUUAGGGAAGAACAAAUGUGUAAGUAACUAUGCACGUCUUGACGGUACCUAAUCAGAAAGCCACGGCUAACUACGU
rnacentral:rRNA from 1 species